rnacentral:lncRNA from 13 species
CCCUUGAAAACAAGUGAAGACCUAAAGAACCAGCUAAACUUGAGUGUUUUCUAUAAUAGAUUUCCUGAAGAAUGGAGAGUGUGUGCAAAAUACGAUAAGACAAGAGAGUAUAAUGUAAUGGAAAUAAAUGAGGAAAAUUAGCAAGGCCUGUUGGUCCAGAUUCUUCUUGGCAUCUCUGUGUCUUUGGAGAUAAGGAUGCUUCCUUCCACCAGAUGUAAGGAAGGGACCUCACUCAUGAAGUUCUUCUGAUCUGUUUCCGCAGAAAGUCAGAAAAUCCUAUUUGGCUUUAUGAAUUACUUUAUGUGACAAGGGCAGGGGAAGUGGCUGAGCAGGAAGAGGAUUGAAGUAGUACAAGGAGUGUGUUCAUGAACUCCUUCUUUAGCAGCCACUUGCAAAGGUGGACUGUAAUUCAACAUGAAAUAGGUUCAGAAUGUUCCCACAAACUCAUUAUAAAUCAAGCUGCUUCGAAGGUCUUUGUGAUUUUUAUUACCCUGAAAUGAGCCACCUACUUUUGGAAACUUCGCUCAUUCUUCAAAACCAUCUCAAAUAACUGUUCUCCAUGAAGCUUUUCAUAAUAACUUCAGGUGGAGGCAGUCGAAUGUGUUCAUUUGUCUAUUAUGCAUAUCACAUUCUU